ACCGACCUCCCGCCCCCGCUGCGCGCGUUUCUGGCCCUGCCAGUGUCUCCGCCGGUUGAAAGCGCGUGUCUGCGUCGGGUUCUGUUGGAGUGCGUUCGGUGCGCCGUGGGUCCGCGCUGCUUCCACCCAACUUCCUGUUAGUUUCUCUCCUGUCACAAUGGCAUGAUCUCGGCUCACUGCGACCUCUGCUUCCUGGGUUCAAGGAUUCUCCUGCCUCAGCCUCCCAAGUAGCUGGGAUUACAGUUUCCAUCAUUAUCUUCUAUGGAGUUCUUCAUUCCCACAUCUGUGGACCUUAAAAUCCUACCGUUGAGUGCCUGCCUUGGAUCAGCAGUCAGUUCGUUACCUUGGUUCUCAGACGAUGCUUGCAACAACGCCAUGCGAUUCGCCCACUCUUGGAGAAAAUAAGAGAAGUAUCCCUGAAGGAUGAAAUAUCCUCGAAUAUGAAAAGGUCUGCUCUCUGAAGACCAACUGUCUCAGUCUGCUUUUUGCUGCUGUAACAGAAUACCACAGACUUGGUUACAUUAGUUAUACACUCUGGAGGUGACUUGACCUGUCAUUGUGAACAAUUAUUGCUCUUGGACGACCCAGGACAUAGGCCAGCCAGUACGUACCCCAGUGUGUUGGAGAAUCGCGCUCGGCUUCUUCCUCUGUGCUGAGUCAUGAAAGUUGCCGGAGCAGGUGCAGUUACACAACCUCCAGGUAUGAUCCUGUUUAAGGACUGGAUUUAGGAUAACUACUUAGAGGUUAAAAGUCACAAGGGUGUAUGGAUGAGGCUGGAGUGAUCUGGGACCAAAGACAUCUAGGCUUGCUGUCAAGGCUUCUGAUCAACAUGAGAUGACCGCCGUGUGGUAAACUGAUGAACCCUGACCCUGAUCAACAUGAGAUGACCGCCGUGUGGUAAACUGAUGAACCCCGACCCUGAUGAACGUGAGAUGACCGCCGUGUGGUAAACUGAUGAACCCCGACCCUGAUGAACGUGAGAUGACCGCCGUGUGGUAAACUGAUGAACCCCGACCCUGAUGAACGUGAGAUGACCGCCGUGUGGUAAACUGAUGAACCCCGACCCUGAUGAACGUGAGAUGACCGCCGUGUGGUAAACUGAUGAACCCCGACCCUGAUCAACGUGAGAUGACCGCCGUGUGGUAAACUGAUGAACCCCGACCCUGAUGAACAUGAGAUGACCGCCGUGUGGUAAACUGAUGAACCCCGACCCUGAUCAACAUGAGAUGACCGCCGUGUGGUAAACUGAUGAACCCCGACCCUGAUCAACAUGAGAUGACUGCCGUGUGGUAAACUGAUGAACCCUGACCCAUUAGGCUUUGGCUACAGAAUGUGGAAAUAAGUUGUGUUACUACAUGUGUGUAAUCCUAGGGUGCAGGACACCGGCCGGGAGGUUCCAUAGAGUGAUGGGUUCUGCAGGUAACUCAUCCUCUAGUCCUCUGUAAGCUCCUAGAAGGAAGAAAUUAUGUCCUUUAGACUAAUAAAAUUCCUCCAAACCAAAUACAGCACCUACUGUGAAGACACAAAGAUACUUUUAGAAUAGUAAAAACUUUAUCCAUUGAGAAAUUCCUUAAUGAAACAGUAUCCAAGAAGUCAUUUGCCAGCAGAUUUCUUAGAGGUGCGAUAAAGAAGAGGACAUUGCCAGUCGUCACAGCAGCUGCAAUAGCUCCUCUCUAUUGUUAAACAGUGGGAUAUCUUGUGCAGGUUUUCAGUUGACAAUCAAUUUUAAAGAUUAGUUUCGGUCCCCAUCAAUCAAUUAUUUAUUAACCCAUCAAUAAAAAUUUAAAUGCUCUGUGAGGUACAAUAGCUAUUAAAAGAGACAGAGGCACUUUCUGUGUCCAGAGGGGCUUUUAGUCUGCUCUGGAAAGCAAGAUGCGUGCAGAUGAGUGACGCAGUGCAUCGUGUGGAUGCAAAGGGAGGGACUCACAUGGGAACCAGAGGAGCUACGAAGGGAGGCAGUGGGGACUGGUGGGUCGAGACCUGGAAAUAACACAUGAAUAGGCAACAAAGGUUUCCUUUCCUCUUCCAUGCACUUCAGUCCUUGAAAAACGUCUUACCACGGAAUUCCACAGCGUACCAAGCGAUUCCACAGCUUGAUGGCACACUCUCCUUUCUCAGCAUUCUUGAAAAUGGCGUGUGAGCCAAGCCAUCUUACUGAGAAAUUACCUUAAACCAUUUGAUGAACCAAAAAUAUUUUGUAAUACCCAUCUCCGACAUUAGGUAGGCAAAUCACACAGAAACACCGAGGUCUUCUGAGUCAUAUUUAUCUGAAAAAUCACAGCUUGGGUGCAUGUGAAGCCAGAGGAGCACUCCUGGGGCCUGCGGUGCCAUCACUCAGCUCCCCUGGGCUUCACAUGGCCAUGGAGCACCCAGCAAGUGUAGGCUCUGAGCCUUCAGGGAGGGGCGGCAUCAGCCAGCACCAUCGUCUCCUGGGUCUUGUGCCUCUUCCUUGGUUGCGGUGUUGUCAGGGCCAGAAUUGGGCAAUUCCGGGUGACAUCCAGGUGUGGCUGCUGACACGGAGCACAGGACACCCUGCUCCUGUGGUUUGCAGCCCCGGCCUUCUCUUCGAGGACGCCUCUGCUCUUCUGCCUCACACUCGGAUUGGACCUUCUUCAGCACAGCCAGUGGCCGAGGCUUCCUCCCUGGGGCUCAGUGGAGCAGGACAGAUGCUGCAUCCAAACUCUUCCAUUGGGUUCCAGUCUGUUCCAGUCAUGCCCUUGAGCCUCUAAAGCUCCUAGGUGAGAGACGUAGCAGCUGACAGCACUUCCCACUUGAUUUGGGUGGACUCCAGCCUCCCCAGCAACAAUAAGAGAUCAAAAGCAUCGUUGAGGAAGCAGCUUGCUGAAACGCUGAGUGCCCGCCACUCUCAGGUCAGGUGGGACCGGCAGGCCAGCAUGAGUUCCUGAACACUUGGUUCUCAAUACUGGCCACAGCCACACUGUAAGGGGAAACAAGAGGGCACUGUAUGCAAACAUCUCUUGAACUCUGGAGUCUGCUCACCUUCCUGCCUCAAGCCCCUCUCCCACGUGGUCCAGUCACCAUUCUCCACAGAGACUACCCUAAAACCCAGCGACUCUCGUGUGCCUGCAGAAUGGCACAGCCCGUUCUCAUAGCAGCACUCCUGUUUAAUCAGAGGGAUGUUAACGACCAAGUCAUAUUUGCUCGAUUUGUGUUCAACAUAUUUCAUUUGUACCGAUAAAACUUAAAAAUAUCCCCACACAUGCAUUGCCUAUUAAAGAGUAUCUUCCAGGUACACCUCCCUUACACAUCAGUUAACUUGAUAAUUUCUUCCCAUUCUUGUGCAAUAAAUUUCCUUCCUGAUCAGCUCUGUCCAGCAGCAACAAUAAUCCACGUAGAGACAUGCAAACUAAAAGUCCGUUAGUGGAGGCACGAAGCUGAUGAGGCUUGGAAAAAAAUGACCGAUUUGAUUAAAAUUAGGACCCAUGGGAGUGGAGCUCUGCCUAUUUUAGAGGCAAAGUAAAUGCCUGGGAGUCCAAUCACCGACAUUCUGUUUGAGGUUUCUAAUCACAAGGAAGAUGGAGAAAAUGCAGAACAAGUGGUCAAGAACAGGGAGAUAAUAAAUAGAAUAUUUAUGGGCUGAGGAAAACAAUUACCAGGGGAAAGCCCAAGAAGCAAAGAUGAACAGAGAACGUGCUGACUGCGCUCGUUUGGAAAGGCCUCAUGGCCAAAGGAGGAGAGGCAUUAUGAGGAGCAGUGACCGAGUGGGCAGGACCCCCGGGGAUCAGGAAAGGUGCACGGGGGGAAAUGAGAGGCCUGAGCGGCUUCCCAGCGAAGGUUUUUGAAGCACGGUUUGAUUUUCUCUCUCCCCCUCACCAUCCCCAAAUUUUAGUUGUGACUAUCUCCAGGUACAUGGCUUGCGACAGGCGGUGUAUAAAAACUAAUGUCAGUUUAAUUUUAAAACCUUAGCCAUUUUCUGGAACUUAAAUAUCAAAGAGAAAAUGUCCACAUAUGAUGUUAAUUGAGGUUUGUCUCACUGGUGAUUUGUGCUGAUUCAAUUCCUGUUUCUUUUUUUUUUUCUUAAGGGGUCAGUUUUAGAAUUGGGAGAUAGGUGUAUAACAUAUGACUAUACAGCGCAGGUUGGUUUUUUAACAUAGAAAUAUCUGCCUUUAAAUGAGAACUGAAAACGGAGCUUCUUGGAGGCCACCUGCUGGUGGCAGUGAUCUGACCGCUGUUUAAGCUUUCUUUGAACUCCUUUUUUUAAAACAGCCUCCAUAAUCAAUGGUGUACGAUCUACUCUCGUGGUAAAACUUACUCAGUGAAGAGUGUGUUUUAUUUUCUGAGGAGCUGAACUGUUCCAACCUGAGUAUUCUGAAUAAGGACAGUGGUCGAGCAUGAGUGAUGCCAUCUGGGCUUAGAAAUAAGUGGGCCUAAAAUCUGAUUGUUUUCAUACAUUGUUCAGAUAUUGACGCAAAUAGCAAUUUAUUUUGUAAAAAAUGAUUGGUAUCCGGAACUUGCAACAGCUGUGUGUGGCUUGAAGGGAGAUGAAGUGGUGAAGGCCUGGUUUCCACCGAAGCUCUCACAGCCCAGCCUUUCACUGUGUGGCCGGGGGAAGGGUGCUCCGGGUGGGGGACGGGAAUGGUGGGACUGGGGAUGCCACGGGACAAGGCUGCUGGCCUGGAAGGUAGUCACGUGGAGAACCGCAGGAGAUGAGAUUGGAAAGUAGUAAUAAGCCAUGUGGAUAAGAACAGAGGAGCGGGUUUUAAGGGGGACGUCCUGAAAUGCUGCUCAUGUCGUUUCAGUUCCAUAGACCACAGGAAAUGCAGGUGAGAGGGCAGCCCGGUGGGAAGGAAGGAAGAGGGUGGUGGUGAGCCAGGUGAGUGUGGAGCCGCCCAGGGCACCGUGCUGUGCGAUAGCUCAGGCAUCGGGUGCUUCUGCCAAACCCUUCAGCAGCUGGUUUGGGGCCAAACGUCCUUCCUGUGUGAGAGAAGGCAGAGCCUAGGCAGCAUUCCAAACCCCAUCCAGAUGGGAGGCUGAGUGCAGAGCAAACGGAGCCCAGCACUCCAGAGCCGUGUCCCUUCACUGCCAUGAUCACAUCACAAACAGCGAGGCUUGGAGAGGACUUAAGAGCUCCUUCAAUGCCAUCUUCCAUCCACUGCGUGAGCCAGAAUAGAAAAAAAGGAAUAAGAAGAGGUCGGUUAAGCUCUCUAUUAAGUUGAGAAAAUGGGAACUUCAGGUGAUCAUGUGAGAUAUUCAAGUUAAAAAAAUUAUUUAAAAAGCACAUUCUUAUUAUUAAAAUUUUAGAAAGUACAGAGAAGGAAAUUUUAAUAACCUACACCUAGAACACUAAGAUACUGGUAACGUAGAAAAAUGUGUAGUUAAUGCCUUGAUGGAUUCUUUUCUAUUUUUUUCUCUAGCAAUAUUUAUGUCUAUCCACAGAAAGCGUACACUCAUGUAUUUGCAUGGCUAAUAUAUUUUAUGUAAAGUUCUAUAUAUUUCUCAACAUUUCACUUAAUAUUUCUUUAUAA
rnacentral:lncRNA from 1 species